UGGGCUGCCCUCUAAGGGAUUGCACAGAGUCGGACACGACUGAAGCGCGUUAGCAGCAGCAGCAGCAAGAAACACCAAUCAGAAGUCUUGGAUUUGAUUCUUCAGUCUAUUAACUGGAAUGGACCAUCAGCCUCUCCAGUGGGAAAGAGACAGGAACAGCAACAGGAGACCUCAGAGAGACAGACAUGCCCCAAACUACACCUUCGGGGGAGCUGCCUGCAGGGAUCUGGUUAAGAACAGUCAGACAUCAAGGAAGAGGUCCUGCUACCCUGAGACAACACACACUGGAGAGGCAACACCCAGCCAUAGCCAGUCUCCAACGCAGCCACGUGAGUGACCCUCUGGGGCACCUCAGCCAGCUAGCCCCACCUGACAUCUGGACUGCAACUGUAUCCGAGUCCCAGAAGGAAAGAAUUAAGACAGACCUCAGCGGGGUGAUUCUCCUGCCCAUCUCAGUGUUGAGGAAAGCUGCUUGGUAGCACUUGGCUUUGGCUGUGCUGGCUUGGAGGAUCUUAGCCUUAUUCAGACACCUGGCACCUUGGUGGGAAUGCCUGGGGAGAGCUGGGCUCAGCUGGGAUGGCGAAUGCAAUCACUGAACUGACUUCCAGAGAGCUUCAAGACGAGCCAUAUGCAUCCUGGCGGAGGGUUUGGGUCACGUGGCACAGACGAUUAUGUUCUAUCCUGACACAUGGCAUUGCCACCCGACUCUCUGGAGUCCCAGAUGGAGGAGGGGGACACACCUUGGGACGAAGCGCAUCAGGAUGUCCCCAUUGCCCGUGG